rnacentral:rRNA from 1 species
UUUACUGACGCUAAAGCUCGAAGGUGCGGGUAUCGAACAGGAUUAGAUACCCUGGUAGUCCGCACGGUAAACGAUGGAUGCCCGCUGUUUGCGAUAUAUUGUAAGCGGCCAAGCGAAAGCGUUAAGCAUCCCACCUGGGGAGUACGCCGGCAACGGUGAAACUCAAAGGAAUUGACGGGGGCCCGCACAAGCGGAGGAACAUGUGGUUUAAUUCGAUGAUACGCGAGGAACCUUACCCGGGCUUGAACUGCAGGAGAACGAUCCAGAGAUGGUGAGGCCCUUCGGGGCUCCUGUGGAGGUGCUGCAUGGUUGUCGUCAGCUCGUGCCGUGAGGUGUCGGCUUAAGUGCCAUAACGAGCGCAACCCCUUUCGCCAGUUGCCAUCAGGUGAUGCUGGGCACUCCGGCGACACUGCCACCGUAAGGUGCGAGGAAGGUGGGGAUGACGUCAAAUCAGCACGGCCCUUACGUCCGGGGCUACACACGUGUUACAAUGGGUGGUACAGAGAGCAGGGUGCACGCAAGUUCACCCGAAUCACGAAAGCCAUCCUCAGUUCGGAUUGGGGUCUGCAACCCGACCCCAUGAAGCUGGAUUCGCUAGUAA